rnacentral:lncRNA from 1 species
GGCCCUGUCACUAAAUCCUGACUUGCCUACACUGGGACUGCAAGACAUGCCUCACCUCCAGGCGGGACCUGCAGCUCUGCCACAGUGACAGCUCAGGGCAGAUAAGAUCAGCCCCUCAGAGUUCCCAUCGUGGCGCAGCGGAGACAAAUCCGACUAGGAACCAUGAGGUGGCGGGUUCGAUCCCUGGCCUCGCUCAGUGGGUUAAGGAUCCUGAGUUGCCGUGAGCUGUGGUGUAGGUGGCAGAUGAGGCAAGCUAAGAUACACGGCCACACCUGCAGCAUAUGGAGGGUCCCAGGCUAGGAGUCAUAUCAGAGCUGCAGCUGCCGGCCUACACCACAGCCACAACUCGGGAUCCAAGCUGCGUCUCUGACCUUCACCACAGCUCACUCAACACCGGACACUUAACCCACUGAGAGACACCAGGGAUCGAACCCACAUCCUCAUGGAUACUAGUCAGGGUCCAGGAGCUAGAAGAGGACACAGUCCCGGCCACCUAGAGCUUGGGGACUGGUACGAUCGAAGGGACGUGAGACAAGGACCCCCAUUCAACCGACUGGCUCCAAGCUGAGCCUUGGAGAGGUGGCUGGGGACAGGAGGAAAAGACAGAGCCCCCCACGCAUUGCCAGGAUUUCUCUUUCCGUAUCCCAGCCUCCCUGCUCCCUGGGGCACACAGGUGGAUGGCGGAGGCAGCCAGUGAAGGCACCAACCGAGGGGCAGAACCUCCACAUGCCAUGGGCGCAGGCCAAAAGGAGAGAGUGAUGGAGGGAGGAAGAAACGCUGGGAGACACAACCUCCAAGUCUCAAGUGGAAACGGGGAGAGAGGCGUCAUGGGAGGGAGCAGCUCUCGAAGUCCCAGCUGGCCCCCCCUAGCUUCGCAAGGA